rnacentral:lncRNA from 7 species
UCUCUUCCAUAGGUAGAGCGUUGUGCUGAUUUCCUGGUCCCUGUUCUCUUAGGACUCUCCAUACAUCUGCUCAGAAAAUGUGUGGAUGCGGCACAGAGGGACAUGAUUGAUUCAAAGGUUAAGGAGGGAGAAGAGACAUCUGUCAUUCUAAUGGCAGAACAUAACCUUUCAUAUUCCUGUGGCGAUGCUUUAAUGAAAUUUAUCAAAGGGACUUUUCACUGACCUAAAAGCUGCCAAGAACACAAAAGGCCAUAACCACGAAUGUCUCCCUUUUUUUUUCUCUUUUCCCUGAGCUUUCCCUGCUGAGCAGAUGCCACACAGCAUCCCUUUGGUCAGUCUGGGUUCUCUAUAUCCAGGCAAUGUCCCUUCCCAUCCACUUGCCCGCCCCCAGCAUAAUGGCCUUUUGGAGAUGGGAAUGGAAGACAAAGUUUUGACCACUGGGGUUGGAGGUGAAACCUUAUGGCAUGUCAUCUCGCUGAAUUGGUGUGCUCCUUCACACAAAAUGUCUUGCCAACCCCAGUGAGACCCAGCAGCCCCUAGCACUGUUUUUGGGUCUUGUGCCUAUCAAGUCUCUGGUCAGCACUGUCAGAGGAGCAGAAGAAGGAGAAUCUCCAUGUUGGUGGACUCUACGGUUGAGGAUUUGUUGCAGACUGGGAGACAUGCAUUCUGUUUGCAAGCUGACAAAGUCUGUUCUACAUUCUGCUCCCAGCUACGUGACCAGGUUGUCUCUGUGCUAGGAAAAGAAAGCCACAAAAAUCCGACUCAACAGCAGCAUGUAGGCUCCGUGCUCAAAGAGUUGAUAAAAACUUUUGGAUGUUAGGCUUAACACCUUCUUCACCCCAGCGGUUUCAUGCCAGCGAUAUUUCAAAGUGAUUCAAGAGCUCUUUUUUCCAGUGAACAGUGCUUAAAAGAUAGCAGGCUGCAAUGAGGAUUGUAACAGUGCUGUAACUAUUCUCAGGAAACUAUCAUUUGGGAAAGUCCUGGGAGAUAUCUUGGAGCUGAUUUGUGUUGUUCCCCAGUAAGGAGCAGAAGACACCUGCCAUUUAGUUAAAUGCCUUAUCUUGGCCUAUUUGGGAACCUCGUUUCAGAUGAAAGUGUCUAUGCUAAUCAAACAAAAUACUAUCAAAAGUGGUCCAGAUGAGAGUGAUAGCUUUAAAAAAAGCACUUUAAAAUGCUUGCGAUUUAUAGUUUUGUGUUAAAUCAGCUUAGCAUUCAUGAAAUAAAAGUGUUGACUACUU